AUUCUCUUCCUCUCCUUGUCUGAGCUCCCACUCAAAUUCCUGUACCAAUCUGCCAAUAGCCGUGCAAGUUAUCAACAUGGCCUGAAGAGAGCCUGCACACACCCUCUUCCCUCCUCCAAAGGCCAUAGUUUUGUACAAAUCCGAGGUCUCAUAUUUCUCAUCAAGAAAUCUCUCUGGAAUCCAUUGGUGAGGAUUUUCCCACGAGUCGUUAUCCAUGUUACAUCCAUAUAUAUUUAUUGUGAUCUGUAAAACAUGAUAUGGAAAUCAAUCAAUCAAACAUAUAAACGAUGAUAUAGUAAAUUCAAUUCAAAGGAUAAAUCGAGCGACCUCGCUUCCNNNNNNNNNNNNNNNNNNNNNNNNNNNNNNNNNNNNNNNNNNNNNNNNNNNNNNNNNNNNNNNNNNNNNNNNNNNNNNNNNNNNNNNNNNNNNNNNNNNNNNNNNNNNNNNNNNNNNNNNNNNNNNNNNNNNNNNNNNNNNNNNNNNNNNNNNNNNNNNNNCAGGAAUAUGAUAUCCUCCCAAUUGGGUAUCCUCAUGAACAUAUCUUAGUGGGAUAAUUGGAACUGGACUAUGCUUCCUUAAAGUCUCAUGGAACACAGCCCCCAAGUAAGGUAGCUUAGAUAAUUGGUCGUCAGUAACCUUUUCAUGUCCACAUACUUUUACAAGCUCCUCAUACAGACGGUCCUGCCAAAUAAUGAUGUAACUAGUUACAAUGUGUCAACAAUGGAACAGAACAGAAGAAACCACCAAAUUAACCAACCAACCAGUAAGAGUUAGCAAAAGGCAAAGUACGGCUAUCAACCUGACGACUUUUGUCUUUGGCAAGUUCAUACAUAGCCCAUUCUGUUGUAACUAACGUAGUAUCAGAUGUCUCAAUAAUUGGCUCCCAUAGCAGCGUGAUCAUUUGUUCUUCUGUCACUUCUUUAGCUUCUGAUAUCAGGUAGUCAAAAUAACAAUUUACUUCCUGCCACAACCCAAACAAUCAAGUUAGGAUAACUCUAUUACAGGCUCUACAUAGAUUUGGGGUUGUAAACAAGUAAAACUUACCUUCCCUGAUGCCAAUCGCUUCUUCUGCUCAUUAAUCAAUGCCUUCAUUAUGUAUUUUCUUCGGAGAGCCACUUUCCGAAUUUUCAUCUCCAUGCUCUUAUUUGGAAUCCAUUUCAGGUAUGGAAAGAAAUCUCGCCAGUCCACCUCAAUUGCACCCUCCAUAAAAUCAACCACUAGAAUUUUAUACAUAUCGUCUCUUGAUAAUGUACUCGCAAGCUCCUCCACAUAAAUGGAUUCAACAUCGCUUCCCAGAGCCUACAAAUUAUACAUGAAGUCAAGAUUUUGUAAAUUAUGUUAUGUUUUCCAAUUGUAUUCUCAGAAUUUUUUUUUUUAAUUUUAUUUAAGAGGAAGACUCACUUGCUUCAUUGCUAGUCUGAAAAGUUCAGACACAAAUAUUUGUCUAAAAUUAACAGCCAAGUUGGGGAAGGUCUUUGCAUGUUCACAAAACUGCCUGGACAUAUUUUCCAUCAUGACUUCUCUGACGUUACGGCGUUGCUUCUGAACAUUGAAAAAUACACUUCAGAGAUACUUUUCAUCCAAACAAUAAAAUACAGAAGAGUCUGUGUGUGUGUGUUGAGAUAGCCAUGAAGUUAUUGUAACCAAAACCUGUGCAUUGGCUCCAAGAACAUUUGCAAGAAUAUGUCUUUUGACCAUUUUGUGAAAUUCGUUGUAGUCGCUCAUAGCAACCAUACAUUUAUUAGAAGUCAGAAUGUGCAAUGCAGUUGACAUCUUCCUUGUUGAAAUUGAUGAAAAUCUGGUCACCAUUGCCUGAAAUAACCACAAAAAAUUAUAAUCCAAUUAAACAACCAGAAAUAAAAAAUAGUUCCAUGGACUGCAGUGAUGAGCACUGAAUGUCAUUUCCCCUGCCUCCUCCUCAUACUAAUAAUUAAUCUAAAAAAUAGAGAUACAAAUGAACAAUAUAAAGCAGUAUAUAUGUGAAUGCUCUGAAUUCAAAUGACAUCCUAAUCAAAAUGACUUAAAAGGCUCAUAAUUCACCUCAGCCUAUUCUUGGUGCAUAAAAAAGAACAAGCCCAUUAGACCCUUCCAUAAGAUAACCCUAGAAUUCAUUUUUUACCACAAUAGCUGCAAUAUAACAAUUUUAGAGGUAUCCAAAAUGGCAAUUGUGGUCGCAUCGACCGCAUUUGCCCAUAUUUUAGGGCAAUAUUAAGAUUUGUUGUAACUGCAAUUUAAAACCAUGUAAUAAAUAAAACGCAAAUUAUCCAUUUGAUGCAAAUAUAUAGAUUAGUGAAAUUCAGUGUUUAUAUUGAGUUAUUGAAAGAAAUAACUAAUCACAUAGUUAUUCCUAGAGUCAACAGAUCUAUACUCUAUAUAGGUGAAGAUCCGUUGACUCUAGUUAUUAGUCGGAGAUAAGUUACCCGUCUUAAUAAUUCAAUAUAAAUAAUGAAUUUCACUAAUUCAACCGUUGAUUAUUGACAUAAUAUAUUAUAAAUCCGAAAUUCUAUGUAAUCUAGUCAUCUAUGUUUACAUAUCUUUUUUUAAAAUUUAUUAUAAAUUCAUUUGAAAUUUUUAAUAAAAUAUAAAAUAGUUUUAAAAUUUCAUAAAAAUUUGUGUUGACAUUAACUUUUGAUUCGACGGUUGUAUUAGUGAAAUUUUUGUUUAUAUUAAAUUAUUAAACAAAAUAAGCCAUACAUUUGUUUAUAUUAAAUUAUUAAACGAAAUAAGUCAUACAUAGUUACUCAUUGAGUCAACAGAUCACCGCUCUUUAUCGAAUGUGAAAUUGAAAUAUGAAAAGAGUACUAGAAGUGGAAAUAAAAAAGAGGAAUGAAUAGGGACCUCCUUGGCAAGUUGGACAUUGUUGAGAACAAUAAUUUUGGAAGCACCAGCUUUAAUUGAAAAAAUGGGUCCAUGUUUAUGUGACAUCUGUGUGAAUGUCUUGUAAGGUUUCUUCUCCUUCAACUGCAGAAGAUUCCCAAUCACUGGCAAACCUGGAACCACUGCAUCAACCAAAACAAAACAAACCAUUUUCAUGCAUUCAUAUUUCAUAGUACUAAAUAAAACUUUUGAUCAUAUAUAUAGAUAUAAGUCCAAGACAACAAGAAAGUGAUACUAACCUGGUACUGGGGGAAGUUUGUGAGUGUUUCGACGACGGAAUAGGAAGAGGAACAAGAAGACAGAAAAAGCACCCAAAGCAACUGAGGUGGCUACGAGAUUCUCCAUUCUGCUUCCUCUUCUACUCUCACUAUUCUAACCACUUCUAACAAUUAUUGUAUUUCUAUGGGACAUUUGUUUCUAACAUAUUCUAUAUAUAAGAUAAGAGAAACACACAACUCACAUUUAUAGAAUUAGAAUAAAAUAAAAUAAAAAAUACAUAUAUAUAAUUUUAAUUUUAUUAUAUAGAAUUAUUACAUUAAUUAUUUAUAUAUUAUUAAUUAAAUUUAUAAAAAAAAUUGAUGUUUAAGUUAAAUAUUUAGAGAAUUUUAGUAAAGUUAAUUCUACAUGUUCAUUUUAUGGGUCACGUUGAAAUUUGGAGGCACUAAUUACAGCAUCUCUCUCGUUAGAUUCUCUCUCUUGCCAAUUAAAUAUAGCUUGUUCACCAACUAUUUGACAUAUAAAUUAAUUAAUUAAAACAAAUCAAAUUUUACUGCAGACCAUCUUGGACCAAUGAUUAACCGUCAGCAGAAACUCCAUCGAUAAAUUAAUAGGACCUUUAAUUUUUAGAAUACUUUUAAAAAACGUCAUCAAUCAAUUAUUUCAAUAAUUUUAAAUAAUAAUUUACAAUACUAUUUAUAAAUGUAGUUCAUAGUAACAUCUACCAUUAAAACAAGCAUAUAGUUAUGUAUUAAGGAGACUAAUUUUCAUCAUCAUCCAAAUUUUCAUGUCAAAUACAUAUCCUUCAGUUUUGGUAUAUAUUUUUAAUCAUCAUUAUUUUUCACAUAUUAUUUAUAUUUUAAUAUUCGAAUGACACAACUAUUUUUAAGAUAAUCUUUUGACAUCUAAAAUAAAUAGCUUUUAAAUGCUGUAUAACAAUAAUUUACUAAACAAUAAUACUAAAUGCUUUAUUUAUUAAUUAAAUAUAGGAAUAAGUUUGUAUGUGAACAGUUAAGUAUUUGUUUAUUCUAAUAGUUGAGUUUUUUUUUUUUUUACGAACUAAUAGUUGACUAUCAUAAACACCAAAUGCAUGCACUGACUAUUACAAAAUUAAUUUACACUAUUUUAAAUUUAAAUAGAAUAUAUUGAAUAGUAAAAUUCAAGGAAUCAGACACAGUAUUAAUUAUUGUUCAAAAUUAGAUUGUAAAGAUUUGCAUAACAAUGUAUAUAGUUCAAUAGUAAUUUUAAAAUAUAAAUUUAUAUAUAAUUAAACUACUGAGUAUUGACUAAGAGUAAUUAACAAAUAUCUUAUUUAUUGCAUACUAAUUGAGUAAAAUAAAUAAAUAGAACAAAAAAAUAAAAAUAAAAAUUAUAUUCACAAUAUAUUCAAAUUUUUAUAGAUAAAUAAUUUAUCUUAAAAUUUCAUAUUCUUAAUGUUAAUUACCAGUCACCACCGUUUGAAUCAAAAUUAUUUUAAAAGAAAUCAAUUGAUAUUAUUUUAUUAUAAUAAAAUACUUCAUUUUGGUUAAUAUUAUAAAAAAAAUAAAAAAAUAAACUACUUUCACCUAUAUUAAAAAAAAAAGUAGUUAAUUGUAAUUAAUUUUCUAAAUUUCAUACAAAAAUAUAAAUUAAAUUUAUUAAAUUAUCUCUUUUUAUAAUGUAAUGAAAAUAAUACCACUAAAUAAUCCAAAAUAAUUAAUUUUUACUUAUAAUAGUGAUUAAAAUUUAAUAUUUUAAACAUUAACAAUAAAAAAAUUUAUAUCUAUGUUACUGUUUAUCUAUCAUUUGGUUGUUUCUACACAAAAAACUCUCUAUCUAUUUAUCUGUGUCAAAAUAGUUUUUCAAACAAUACUUUUAAAAAUUAUAUUAAUAAUAAGUAAUAUAAUAUAAAAAAUUGUGAAAAGCAUUUCUUAAAAGUCAUCUAUUUUGUACUAUUCUUCCUCGUCGUAAGUCCGAUUUCAGUGAAAUCAACGUCAAAACGAUCGUGUGAAAAGUAGCUAUAUUAUUCACUAAUUAGUUUUCUGAUUUAUGGUAAGUUUCCUUGAUCCAAUUUUGAAAGCUAGUUUUUAGAAUGUUUUCUCAUAAUUUAUUUUCAACGUUUAUCCAUAAAUUGUCGAGUUAGAUCGAUUGAAGAACAAGGAGUCAAAGAACAAAGGUCGUUUGCUCGUGGAAUUGUAUUCAUAUGUGAUUAAAAUGUUAAAUAGAAAUAUUUAUAAGGUGUUGAUUGAUUUAAUUUUCGAUAAUUGUGUGGUAUUUGAUAUUUGAUACUAUUGUAAUAUUGGAUGUCGAAUGAAAUUUUGUGCAUAUGUUUGAUUGGACAAAUUCUUGUGAUGCGAAUAAAAUAUGGAUGCAUUGUAUGAUAUAUGUUUAUGUAAUGAUAAUGAUGAUUUUUGAUUGACGAUAGUAAUGUUAUAAAUUUAUGAUGAGUUUAUAUGAUAAUCGUGAUUAUGUAUGAUUAACAAUGUUAUAAAGUUGUGAUAAGAAUAUUGAAGUAUCCAUAAUUGAUGAAAUAGUGAUGAUUUCAACUUGCGCUAAAGAUGAUGCUCUUAAUGGAGUAGUCUAGGUUAACAAGGGGAGAAAAUAGAUGUUGGGAAUAUUUGAAGUUAACGUGGAUUUUGAAGUGUAGAUUAUUUUUUCAUCAUAUAGAUAGGGUUUGACAAACCUAGUGAUUAUGGGGAAGUACAACUGAAUGAGUCUGAUCGUGGCGGUUUGCUAUUGAGCCUUAGGGCAAGAUCGUUAGACUUUGGAGGUAUUCGGGUGGGGAAUUCCUAGAUGACUUGGAGUUAGCACUCUAAAUAUUGGGAACUACCAUGCAACACACGUUUACCUCAACUGUCGCGUAUAUGUGUCUCGGGUUGAGUUGAGGGAAUCUAUGAAAACAAGGUCAAUUUUAAUUGUCCGUCCACCAGGAUGGUGGCAUAGUAUUAAGUCUCCUAACUAAAUACUUCAAAGUUAGAAUGAUACCAAAUUGUGAAGUAGAGUCUAAGCUCAUACAUAAUAUUGCAUUUUUGUAUGAUUGUUUUAUUGUGAUUAAUGUGUUUUAAAAGUGAUAAUAAUUUCCCUGAAAUGAUGUGACGAUGUGACGGUAUAUUGAUUUUACUUAGGGAUUUAGACAUUAUAAUAUGAUAUUAUUUCUCUUGAGUAUUUUUAUAUAUCAUAAUAUGUUAUGAUACAACCUAUUAUGAUUGUUUGUGUGUUCUUCUUACUUAUGUUACAUUAUCAACAUGAUUUCAAAAUUCACCUCAUUCGUUGUUUGUGUUUAACUGAUUCGGCCAUGCGUUUGCAAAAUCAUAGUUGUACAUGUUAAUGAGUCUUGAAGUUCAAGUUUGGAAGGAACUCUUCCCUGAUAGAUGAUAUCGGAGAUAAGUAAUAAAUGUUCAUCAUAUGCAUAUUUUCAUUAUUUUUAGUCUUAUUUAUAUUUUAUUUAUUAGUUAAUUUAAGGAGUUAUUUGAUAUAUUUUGUUAAUUUUAUUUCUUUACUUUAAUGAAAUGUGUAUGUUCUUAUUUCCUUGAUUAAGUAUAAAUUUUUUGGAGUUUUGCGUUGUUACUUUGUUUUAAUGUAGUGCUGAAUUUUUGUGAGAAAUCAAAAUGACAUAUGUGAAGUAUUUUAGCCCUAUCUAGAGUUGUAGAUGUUCAAUUGGAGUCAAACUAAAUGCAAAUGAAAGCUAGAUCCAUAGCUACAACUUUCAUGAAGAUCCCGAAACCAAAUUCGGACUCAAAGGAGGAGAACAUUGCACUACACUUCAAAAAGAAAAUGUUGUGCGCUUGAAGCGCAUUUCGCGCUGAAGCCACUGCCAAUCUGGGCCUGAAGCGCAUUUCGCGCUGAAGCCACUGUCAAUCCGCGCCUGAAGCGCGCGACGCGCAGCUAAACACAUUAAAACUCGUUUUUCUCACUUUUUAAGUAUCUUUUUUACUAUUGGGAAGUUGAGAGACUGGUGUCCUAGCAUACAAACUCAAAGACGACCAUUUCUAACACCAUUGAAGCAGUUUUAUCAAGAAUCGCUCAUGAAUCUUUCUUAAUAAUUAAAUGUAAUUCAAUAGUAAAACGCAAUCCUUGAGUUCGACACUCGGUACUAUCGUUUUAUUAUUACUUGCAACAAUUCAACACACUUGCUGAAACACUAUCAAUAAGGAUUUUAAUUUGAAACGAUUUUUUGUAUAAAAACUUGUACUAGUAAGUUUUUAAAAUUAAAUUAAGUAAAUAUAUUUAAAUUAAGUAAACUUGUAUAAAUCAUGCAUAUAUAAGAUGAUUGUAUUCAUAGUUUCUAACAUUUUUAUAAUAUGGUUUCUAUAAAUAAUUAAAACAUUUAAGUUAAGUCAUAAAUAUUUAAUAUAUAAAGUAUAUGACACUAAAAUAAUUCAUGCACAACAUGACUAUAUUCAUAGUUUGCAAUUUUAUUUUCUGUAGAAGUCUCUAAAAAUUAUUAAAAAAUCUAAGGUAAAUAAUCAAAAUAUAAAUAAAAUUGAAUAAAAAAUAUUCAUAAUAGUUUUAAUAUGUUUUAUUAAAAAAAAAUUCAUAUAUUUAUAAAUAAUCAUUUAAUGCAAAAAUAAUAGAAAAUAGACUAACUACAUACACUAUAUUAUAAAAUAGGCAUAAUUGUUUUAAUGAUCUUUUAAUUUAAUUUCAGUAACACUUCGGUCGUUCAUCUUUUUUUCUUCUUCUUGAUUUAGUCAUUUAUUUGAUUUUAACUAAUAAUUUGAUCAUUUAUAUCUUAAAAUGUCAAUAAUAUUAUCUUUUUUUUUUACAUAAACUUAAAAAAUUCAUCGAAACCUUCAAACAAAAUCCAUAAAAUGAAAUACCAAUUUUAAGAAAAUUCAUGAAAUACAUGACUUAAAUAUUCAAAUAAACUCAUAUUUUCAUCUCCAACAACAUCAAAUAAAGAAUAAAAAUAUGAGUUAUGAAUUUGAUGAAAUUUGAUUUUAUAUUGAAGAUGAUAAUUAAUUUUAUGGGUUUUGUUUGAAAAUUUUGAUGAAUUUUUUAAAUUUUUUAUAAAAAUUGAUAAUAUUGUUGACAUUUUAAAAUAUAAAAGAUCAAAUUGUUAUUUAAAAUUAAAUAAAAUACUAAAGCAUAAGAAGAAAAAAAUAAAGGAUAUAAUUAAAAUAAAUUGGGGGAAGCGAUACUUAUAUAAUUAAAAAUAAAAAAUUGGAGGAGAAGGAUACUUUUAUUAUGGCACUGAUAGUCAAAAUGUUUCGAAAUGAAUUUGAACUCGGAGGCUAGUUGUUACUGGUGGUGACCAAGCAAGCAAGGAUUAUGAAAAAUGUAAUGCUAAAUACAGCUCAUAAUUGAGAUAUGGAUCGGUUCAUACAUUAUACCUUUGUGAAUCAAAUUAAUUAGGUGAAGUUAAAAGCAAACAGAAGAAUAUAUCAAUCUCAUUAAUUAUUAGCUUCAGUAAUUAAAGCAUUCUUCUUCUGAGUAAUUAUUUACUUCAAUAAAAAUUAAAAUACUCAUUGAACAAAUCUUACAUAAACUCCUUCAGAGAUAACUAAUAAAAUAUUCUUUUUAUUAUUUUAAUGUAUGUAUUACUCCCUCAUUCGAUAUAACCGUUUAUUUUGUAAUAUUAAUUUGUCUCGAAUUAUUUUAGUAAGUAAAACUCAUUUUAAAAUUAAAAUAAACACAACUAAUAAGAAACUAAAAGUAAUUAUGUUCGGAUGAUCAGUUUGUUACUUUCAAAAAAAUUGAACUUUGUAAACUUCAUUGGCUCAAAUGAUCCAGAUAAAAUUACAUGAUGUUGCACAAGUAGAUUUAUUAUUUUCAGCAUUGUUUUUAUAAUUAUUAUCUAGCUAUCUUGUAUCUCCCUCACAAAUGUUAGACUAUUGAAUCUCUAGCUAGUAGAUGUCGAUUAUGAGAUUGUGUUCUUCAUUGAAAUUACAGUCACUCUCACUUGUUUCGCAUGUGGGCACUUCCCUUUGGUAGCCUAACCUUUGCUAAAAAUACUUAAAACUACACCCCCACAUAAAUGAUUUAUAUUAACAUUCCUGUCAAGUGAAACUUUAAAAUAAUUUGUUGCAUAACGCCCUUUAAAAUUGAGAGUUUAAGGAUUUGUUUAACCUCACAAAAAGCCCCCAAAUCAUAUAAGAUACUAGAGAUGGGAAAUCAGAAACAAACAACAGCGAAAACAAUAAAUAAGUGCUAAUAGAAAAAACAGAGAAAACAACAAAGGCAGACUUAAGGGAGGAACAACACAAUAAAAAAAGACAAAGGAGCAGAAGCAUGAAACAGUUGGAAGACAAAAGACGGCAGACAGACAAAACUAGCCUCUUGACAUUCAGGGAAGUGCCUGCAUUUGAUUUGGUGGUCCAGGAAUGCACUUCAGUAAAUCAAACCACUGGGAUUGAAUCAUAGUUUUACACACGUCAAAAAACGUACUUCGGUUCUGAUUGGCAGUCAAUGAGGUAUAGAUCAUGUCACCACCCAUGUCAUGAUUAUUAUUAAAAAUCAAUUUGUUGAUUGUCCUUGCAUGAUUGAAAAACUAAAGACGAUCAUACAACAAACUUGAUAAAACUCUUGUACUUUUAUUAUACCAAACUUUAUUUAUCAAUGUUGAUAAUGUCUUAGAUUUGAGAUAACUAUACUAUGAGGUGCACUUAGUAAAUAUGUAGCUAUGCUACAACCAGUAAGUUUACCAGCCAAGUUAAACCUACUACUUAAAAUGAUUUCUUGGCUUAAGUUUUACUAGCAGGGGAUGAAGCCUGUUGGUGGUAAGGGCACUUGUAUCAACAUCCUCUUCCUCUCCCUGUCCGAGCUCCCACUCAAAUUCCUGAACAAAUCUGCCAAUAGCCGUGCAAGUUAUCAACAUGGCCUCAAGAGAGCCUGCACACACCCUCUUCCCUCCUCCAAAGGCCAUAGUUUUGUACAAAUCCGAGGUCUCAUAUUUCUCAUCAAGAAAUCUCUCUGGAAUCCAUUGGUCAGGAUUUUCCCACCGGUCGUUAUCCAUGUUACAUGCAUAUAUAUUUAUUGUGAUCUGUAAAACAUGAUAUGGAAAUCAAUCAAUCAAACAUAUAAACAAUGAUAUAGUAAAUAUUCAAAGGAUAAAUAUCCGGUGAUCUGUAAAACAUGAUAUGGAAAUCAAUCAAUCAAACAUAUAAACGAUGAUAUAGUAAAUUUUAUUCAAAGGAUAAAUCGAGCGACCUGGCUUCCAGCAGNNNNNNNNNNNNNNNNNNNNNNNNNNNNNNNNNNNNNNNNNNNNNNNNNNNNNNNNNNNNNNNNNNNNNNNNNCAGGAAUAUGAUAUCCUCCCAAUUGGGUAUCCUCAUU
rnacentral:lncRNA from 1 species